AAUCAACGCUGGCGGCGUGCCUCAGACAUGCAAGUCGAACGAUUAAAGCUCUCUUCGGAGAGUGUAUAGAGUGGCGCACGGGUGAGUAACACGUAAGUAAUCUACCUUUGAGUGGGGAAUAACCCGGGGAAACCCGAGCUAAUACCGCAUAAUGCAGCGGCAUCGCAAGAUGACAGUUGUUAAAGGAGCAAUCCGCUUAAAGAGGAGCUUGCGGCAGAUUAGCUAGUUGGUAAGGUAAUGGCUUACCAAGGCUACGAUCUGUAUCCGGUCUAAGAGGACGGUCGGACACACUGACACUGAAUAACGGGUCAGACUCCUACGGGAGGCAGCAGUCGGGAAUUUUGGGCAAUGGGCGAAAGCCUGACCCAGCAACGCCGCGUGAAGGAUGAAGUAUUUCGGUAUGUAAACUUCGAAAGAACAGGAAGAAUAAAUGACGGUACUAUUUAUAAGGUCC
rnacentral:rRNA from 1 species